rnacentral:rRNA from 1 species
GGGCCCGCACAAGCGGUGGAGCGUGUGGUUUAAUUCGAUGAUACGCGAGGAACCUUACCAGGGCUUAAAUGUAAGUUGCAUUAGAUAGAGAUAUCUAUUUCUUCGGACUACUUACAAGGUGCUGCAUGGUUGUCGUCAGCUCGUGCCGUGAGGUGUCAGGUUAAGUCCUAUAACGAGCGCAACCCCUGUUGUUAGUUGCCAUCGAGUAAUGUCGGGAACUCUAACAAGACUGCCGGUGCAAACCGUGAGGAAGGUGGGGAUGACGUCAAAUCAUCACGGCCCUUACGUCCUGGGCUACACACGUGCUACAAUGGCCGGUACAGAGAGCAGCCACUACGCGAGUAGGAGCGAAUCUAUAAAACCGGUCUCAGUUCGGAUCGCAGUCUGCAACUCGACUGCGUGAAGCUGGAAUC